rnacentral:rRNA from 1 species
GAUGAACGCUGGCGGCGUGCCUAAUACAUGCAAGUCGAGCGAACGGACGAGAAGCUUGCUUCUCUGAUGUUAGCGGCGGACGGGUGAGUAACACGUGGAUAACCUACCUAUAAGACUGGGAUAACUUCGGGAAACCGGAGCUAAUACCGGAUGAUAUUUUGAACCGCAUGGUUCAAAAGUGAAAGACGGUCUUGCUGUCACUUAUAGAUGGAUCCGCGCUGCAUUAGCUAGUUGGUAAGGUAACGGCUUACCAAGGCAACGAUGCAUAGCCGACCUGAGAGGGUGAUCGGCCACACUGGAACUGGAACACGGUCCAGACUCCUACGGGAGGCAGCAGUAGGGAAUCUUCCGCAGUGGUCGAAAGCCUGACGGAGCAACGCCGCGUGAGUGAUGAAGGUCUUCGGAUCGUAAAACUCUGUUAUUAGGGAAGAACAUAUGUGUAAGUAACUGUGCACAUCUUGACGGUACCUAAUCAGAAAGCCACGGCUAACUACGUG